rfam:Physcomitrella patens subsp. patens PHYPAscaffold_227 genomic scaffold, whole genome shotgun sequence.
GUGUUCGUUGAGCCGAGAGAAGGUUAGCAUCUCCCUCGAUAAGGACGAGAAUAGCCUUCGGGCUUUACACAUGAGGUUAAGGCUUCCCGCGCUAUGGGCAACCAUCGCGGAUCUGAACCCAAUUUUUGA